rnacentral:rRNA from 1 species
GUGAAGUCCGUGCACGUAGCGUAGUAAUAAAGGGUGGUGCAAGCGGUAAUGGGAAUGACUGGGCUGAAAGCGUGGGGAUGCGGUAGAGUCAGGCAGGCGUGAAAGCCCGGGGCUUAACCUGGGAACGGCGAGUGAGACGGCUCGACUAGAGUGGGCUAGAGGAUCGUGGAAUUCCGGGGGUAGCGGUGAAAUGCGUAGAGAUCCGGAGGAACACCGAUGGCGAAGGCAGCGGUCUGGGGCCACACUGACGCUGAGGCACGAAAGCGUGGGGAACAAACAGGAUUAGAUACCCGUGUAGUC